rnacentral:ncRNA from 16 species
AACAUUCAUUGCUGUCGGUGGG